rnacentral:rRNA from 2 species
AUUUGGAGAGGAUGUUUCUGGCGCGGCGCCUACCGGAGUUCCUUGGAACAGGACGCCACAGAGGGUGAGAGCCCCGUACGGUGGGACGCCUAGCCGCAACGAAACUCCUUCGACGAGUCGAGUAGUUUGGGAAUGCUGCUCAAAAUGGGAGGUAAAUUUCUUCUAAAGCUAAAUACCGGCCAGAGACCGAUAGCGCACAAGUAGAGUGAUCGAAAGAUGAAAAGCACCUUGAAAAGAGGGUUAAACAGUACGUGAAAUUGUUGAAAGGGAAGCGCCUGCGACCAGACUCGCGCCCCGCGGACCAGCCGGCGUUCUCGCCGGUGCACUCCGCGGGGUGCGGGCCAGCAUCGGUUUUCCCUGGGGGAGAAAGGCCGCGGGAACGUAGCUCCCUCGGGAGUGUUAUAGCCCGUGGCGUCAUGCCCCAGGGGGGACCGAGGACCGCGCUUCGGCAAGGAUGCUGGCGUAAUGGUCGUCGACGACCCGUCUUGAAACACGGACCAAGGAGUCAAGCAUUGGGGCGAGUGUCUGGGUGCCAAACCCGCACGCGAAAUGAAAGUGAACGCAGGUGAGAGCUUCGGCGCAUCACCGACCGAUCCUGAUGUCUUCGGAUGGAUUUGAGUAAGAGCCCCACCGCUUGGACCCGAAAGAUGGUGAACUAUGCCUGUAUAGGGUGAAGCCAGAGGAAACUCUGGUGGAGG